ACCAAAACAAGCUACUUUAAAACCAUUUUUGUUUAAACUGUGAAAAACUACUUGCACUUGUACUCACCGUCCCAUACAACCUCCCCUUGCUGUUCAUUGCAAUGAAGAGAGCACUUUUUACCCCAAGCAGGCUUACAACACCUCUUUCUACAGUGGAUAUUUCAAAGAGACCUGAAAAAUGUGAAGUUUAACAGAAAUGUUAUCACAGAAUCUAGAGCUAAUGGAAGGAAAUUCAGAUAUCUUUUUUUUUCAUACUCUAACAAACUUGAUAUAUAUUCUUUAUGAGAAUUAUCUCCCUAGUACAACAAAAUAAAUAUACACAGAGAAGAUCUUGGGUUUUCCUACAUGUCACAGGAUUUGAAAAUAGUUAUUCUAGAACUGUAGUCACAUUCUGUAGAAGCCUUUUGCUCUAUUGGGUUCUUUUGAUCUUUCAAACUCUGGACCUCUUUAAUAAGAAAAUUAUUUUUAUGUAAUAUGCUAUAUGACAAAAGGUUUUUUACUGAGCCUCAGAGAAAUGUGGCUUGCAUUUUGAAGUCCCACAUGACAUCUUAGCUGCAAAGGAUUUUAGCAACUGCCCUCUACAGGAAAUUCAAAUCCAGAUGACUAAUGCUUUCCUUAAUUCUUAGGGUGACAGAACAGCACCUACAAGAACGAGCCAACCAGGAACAGCAAGCCCCUUCCAUGGGACACAUUGAGUGUCCCAAAAAUACUGUUCGGCUGGGAUUCAAAAAUCAUGCUUUGGCACUCUGAACUCAGCAACGACCUCCCGGAUUCAAAAGGCAAAUGAGAAGUCAAACUGACCUGAAGCUUCCUCUCAAGGCACAGCCCAAAGGCAAGGUUAUUCUGACAGAAAUGGGAAUGGAAAUAAAGAACUAUGAAUCAUCAUUCUUCAACAGAAUCUGGCCUAACUGCCAGGAAAYAAUCCUGAAAAGAACUUGCUUCUGAUGGUUGGGGUUCUCCAGUUUCCAAGUGCAGAAUUUCAGCAGCAAUAGGAAGAGGUUUCUGAGUCAAAGGCUGCUCUGCCAAGAUCCCCAUGAUUCCCCCACAGCACAACUGUGCAUUUGGAAAUGCCACCACUGGGACUUUGCCACCACUGGGACUUUGCUGUGAGUCCAAUGGUUCUGGCAAUCCCAUGGAUCCCAAUUCCAGACAGGACAUUCCCAGUGCCCAUGGAAGGGCUGCUUCAGCCUCCUGAUUCUACAGCUGAGUUCCAAAAUGUCCAUGAUGGGGGAAAAGCAGUUCCCAACGUYCCCUUUAUCCCCCAUCACUGGGUGCUUUCAUUGGGUUUUUUUUKACUGGAUUCAAGUUUGUCCCAAGAAAUUUCAUAGCUGCACCUUGAGCUGUCUCCCUGGCAUUUUUGAAUAGUCAUAAAAUGUUAAUUAAUAAGCAGCAAAUUUUAUCUGUGUAACAGGGUCCAGAACACUUCAGUGUUCUUAUAAAAGUUGUUCAUUUGAUAAACUGGUCAAUGUGAAGUCUGGAAAUAAAGCAAAAAGCAAACAUAGUUGUAAAAAAAAAAGAAAUAAUACUUAAAAAUUCUAAUUAUUGUCACAAGGGCAUAUUAAUUUGAUUUUUUUAAAAACACUUYCACGAUCUACAAAAUGCAGCAGGGUAAAUGUUUGAUUCAAGUCUUUCAUUUUGUAAUAGUAAAAUGAGGCAGUGACACAUCUUACUCCACRGUCACUGUGACAAAUUACAUUGGUUAUUCUAAGGAGACACCUGACCUGCUCCAAAUUUUUGAAAAGUCACAAGAAAAUUCAGAAUUUUUUUGUAGAAGUCACCAGCCCGAAGAACCUGUUCCUACCAUAAGUUCUUAUUCCUACUAUCUACGUAUAAGAAUGACCUACAUAUUUCUGUAGAUUUCACACAAGUUACAUUGAGUGCCUUUCAGAUAAAGCGGAGGAACUCGGCA